UAUGGAACAAAACACAAUCCAAGUAGUGGAAACAUUUACGGUGAAAAAUAUGUGAAUAACAUUGAAAAAUUGGCAUUACGGAACACAAGUAAUCUUUACUCGAGAGUUGGGGUAAUAAAGCGAGAUAUAAUAGCACUGAAAAGUGAAUAGAAACAUUACAAGGCCAAACUGUGCACCGGAUAGGCUUAAAACUGUUUGUCUGAUUGUUCCAGGAUUCCAUAGACAAACCUUUAAACAUGUUCCAAAAAGUCAGUGGAUUCCACUUACAAAACUAUCUUAGAUUUCGGGUACAAAUACCUGUUACGUAAAUUUUGUCGGCACAUUUGUUGUGCCGAGGAUCCCGCAACAUGCGAAUAUAGCUAUUUGUUCUGGAUUCCGCAACUGUAAGUGGAAUCCGCAAAUUUACGGAGUCUCCAAAAAUUCCGAAUUUGGUUCUUACUGAGCUUGCAUUUGAACAAUUGAAAACUAGAGCUAGCAUUUUUGUCUAUAGCAAUGCGAAAUUUAAAGACAAGGACUUAACCAAUGCCACUGGAAUCCGCGAACAAAUCUCAAAACAUUUGUUAACUAAUUUGGUGGAUAUCAGCUUUUUUGGAUUCGUUAGGUUGAGAGUUUACGGAAAUACAACGUUCAGCAUAUCGCCAUUUUAAGUCAGUAUUUGGGAUUACGCCAAUCUCAAAUACUGAUUUUGGAAGCAUAACGCCGAAUAAAAUCAAAAUUUGUAGUCUUUGGUUUGAGAUUGUGCGGAAACACAACACAUAGCAUAUCGCUAAUUUAGGUCAGUAUUUGGGAUUGACGCAAUCCCAAAUACUGAUUUUGGAAGCUUAGAGCCGAACAAACUAAGCAAUUGAUGUCCAUGGCUUUAAAGUGUUUGGAAAGACAGCGCACAGCUUAUUGAUGAAUUAAGUCAGUUUUUGGGAUUGCAUCAGUAUUUGGUAUCGAAAUUCAGAUCAAUGUAGGCCAGUAUUUAGGAUCAGGAGGUUAGCAUUUGGGAUUGAGAUUGCUUUUUCUGAUGUACAGUAAUUAAACGAUAUAAUUUUAAACGCUAUACUACACACAUAUAAAUAUAUAAACGGAAUACGCAAACAAAAUGCAGAUUUUACUUACAAUUUGCGGAUUCCACUUACACGUUGCGGAUUCCGCUUACAGUUGCGGAAUCCGCAACAGCUCAUUUUAACUAAACAAAUGUCUUAUUAUUUGCUUGUGGAGUCCACAAACUGUUCUGGAUUCCGCAAGUACGGUUGCGGAUUCCGCAAAACCGCCUAAUUCCGGAGCGAUUUUGAGCAGUGCAAUGUUAUAGGUAUUUGUUUGUGGAAUCCAAAAUAGCGACAGCGAAAAAGAUCAAAGAAAAGUAGCAAAGUUGCGGAUUCCGCGACAAAACUGAUUUUGGCCUGUUGCGGAAUCCUCUUACAAUGCACAGAAUGCACAGUUUGGCCUCGUAAUGAAGUGCGUGAAAGGUUUAAUCAGGGAUGCAACACGAAUUCUAAAUUAGGGAUUAAAUACGAGGAUGAUCUGUCAGUAUCAAUUAAGUGAUCUUAACUAGUGGACUAAGUCAACCGGUCUAUUGGGUUUUAAACAGAUCUUUCAUGGUGCAGAAAAUGACAACGAUGUAAUCGCUACUGAAAUAAAAAAACAGGAAGAUUAUGAAGCUGAGGUGGUUGUAUAUCGAGCACUUGAGAAAUUGAAGGAGCCCCUUAUUGUGUUUCAUAGUUUUGAUUACAGUCACGACCAGUUUCGAAUCUGGGACUCGAAUCAUGAUAGAAAAACCUGCAGUCGUUCUGGGGUAAAACCUAACUGUAAAAACGCGCAUGCAGAUGAAGCCGAGCAUGAUUUCGUUGUAUUUGGACCUGAUUACAUCGUAAUGAUAGAAGUCAAGAAUCCAUCACUAGCUCAGGCUAAGACACACAACAAAACGAGUAAAAGCAAAGAGAAAAACCCCGACGUUGGUCCUAAUAAGUUAAGGAGCGAAGCCAAUAAUCUAACUCAAGCCACAACAAGUAAGCUAAAUGACAACAUAGAGGAAAACACUGAAGUCGCUCCUAAUGAUUCAAGAAACAAAAUCAAGGAUUCAUCGCUAUCUCCAUCAUCAAAAACUUUGUUUCGGGUGCCAGGAUAUCAUCUAUUCGGAAAUUCCAUCAAAAUGUCAAAAGCUAAGAAACGAUCACUUGCUCAGACUAAGACAGACAACAAAACGAGUGAAAGCAAAGAGGAAAACCCUGAUGUUGCUCCUAAUAAGUUAAGGAGCGAAGCCAAUAAUCUACCGCAAGCCACAACAAGUCAGCCAAAUGACAACAUAGAGGAAAACUCUGAAGUCGCUCUUAAUGAUUCAAGAAACAAAGUCAAGGAUUCAUCGCUAUCUCCAACAUCAGAAAAAAAAUCGGAAAAAAAACCUCCAAUUUUGGUUGCUAUUGAGAAAGCUACUACACAACUCGAGAAAGGAAUGAAACUCCUUGAGAAAAUUUCUGAUUCCACUCAAACAGAAAAUGGAAUUUGUUCCCAAAUCCGCGUUUUCCGUUUUGUUGCCUUCCCAAAUAUUUGCAAAAACCAAACCAACAUUGUCGAACAAAACAUCCCCCUAAACAUUCAUGCCAUCUACAAAGAUGAUUUCAAAAAAUUCCACAAAAUUUGGGCGAAUAUAAAGAACGAAGGAGCAAGUGUUCUUGGAAACAAAACGCUUUCAGGUGACAUAACAAAAAUACAGAGCGCAAUUUUGCGAUUAUUUACCUCGCAUAAGGGACAAAAAAAUGAAAAAUGUCUUAGUUUGAAAGAAUGUGUCGUAGAGAUUGAUCAAAAAUUAAGAAAUUCAGAAAUUACCUUCAGAGGAAACAAUACUCCUCCAAACCCAUCAGUGAUCAAAACAAGUGAACUCAAAGAUCCGCCAUUUGUGGUGAAAAAUAUCAACAUUUUCGAAACCUGUCUAAAGCUGAAAUACAUAACAAAUGAGCAAAGAAACGCCUUUGAAGAUGAAAACUACCCUAUUGUAAUCACUGGGGCAGCUGGGUCCGGAAAGACGAUUGUUCUGCUUGCUAAAGCUAUUCACACAGUUUUGACUCAACCCGGAACUAAAAUUUUUAUUUUAUUUCAAGGUGACUUUAAACUAGCUCGCUAUUCAGAAUAUGUUGAACGAGCUGGUAUCAAAGUUUACGAAUACGGUUUUGAUGAAGAAGACUUGAAUAAGCUUGUUGACAAACUCGCAGAGCAUGACAUCAUCAUCUGCCAUGGAUAUCCAUUAAAUUAUUUUGAUUUUAUUUUAAAGGCAAAUGGUAAGUUCUUCCCUGAAUUGAAUCUGCUUUUGUUCGCAGACGAUUCUCAAGAUGAUGAUUUCUUUUGGCAUCCUUAUGACUUGGAAUGCUGGAGUUGCUUGGUAGCGGAUUUUACCCAAGAAAGCCAAGUGUAUCGUUCAGAUUUACAACAAUGGCUCGCCAGAGUAAAAGAGGAGAGAAACUUCAAAAUUCAUUGGCUAGGAAGGAGCUAUAGGAACACACACAACAUAGUUUCACAACUCAUUCAGCUCGGUGAGGAAAAAGCGAAGCAUAAACGGUCUAAUGGGAUAGAAAGAGAUGGACUGGUACUACAACUCUCACCCAUCCCAAAACAUGGACACUUUAUUCAUGGACCUGAAAUCAUUGUAAAGAUAUACCGGUUACCAGAAGAAUUAAAACAAAACGACUAUCAUUGUUUCGUGGACAAGCUGAUUGACAAAGAAUAUAAUAAGUAUUCCGAAUUUUGCGUGGAUUCCCAAAUCAGCUGCGCCUUUUUAUUGAAAAAUAGCUUGGGGUCUCACUUCAAAAAGAUUGAACCAUCAUUUAUCUUCUCCAAGAAGUUGGAACAAAAGUAUCCACACCUCCGUUUUUCCUUCUGUCAAAGUGACCCUAUGUGUUUAGUCAUUGGGUCUACCGAGUUUACUGUUUGUCACAUUAUCUUGAUUUUAUUUGAUCGGGAAGAUCAGGAUGUACAAUAUCUUUACAAUGCGAUAUCAAGAGCCCGAGUAAUGUGCCGUGUUCACGUAAUAGUCAAUGACAAAAAUAGUAGAAAUCAAUUGGAUUAUUUAUUGCGAUUUUUUCGAGAUGCAAGAAUUGAAGACGAAUAUGAAAAUGUAGCCGAGCUAUCGAAUUUGAUGUGCAAGACAACAUAUGAAGAGCUUCGUUAUUGCCAUUGCUUGUCGUCAUAUCCAUCAUCUCCAACAGCUAUAGAAGUCGAAACAACGCUACAAGUUCAGUGGAAAACAGCUGCAGAUACAAUCUUGAGAGGAUCGAGUGGCAAGAGCACACACGAUACAGCAAUGGAGAUCCUCAUUGCAGUAGAACAUACCUGCCCUACGAGUGGCAUUAUAAUAGUCACAGUCCAUGCUAAAGAUAGUGACUAUAGUUUAAAGUGUGAAGAUAGAGUUGGUGAGACAGCAGAGUGGAUAGACAGGACAGACUGUCCCUACAACAUGCACAUCUACACUGUCUAUCGUCAAUACCAUAACAACAGAAGAGCUGCAACU